UACGUAGGUCCCGAGCGUUGUCCGGAUUUAUUGGGUGUAAAGGGCGUGUAGGCGGGAAAGCAAGUCAGAUGUGAAAACCAUGGGCUCAACCUGUGGCCUGCAUUUGAAACUGUUUUUCUUGAGUACUGGAGAGGCAGACGGAAUUCCUAGUGUAGCGGUGAAAUGCGUAGAUAUUAGGAGGAACACCAGUGGCGAAGGCGGUCUGCUGGACAGCAACUGACGCUGAGGCGCGAAAGCGUGGGGAGCAAACAGG
rnacentral:rRNA from 1 species